UCAUUAAUGAGUACUUUCAAGUUAGCGUGUAUACCGCAUCCGUGUAUACGAAUACACUUACUACCCCUGUUGGGUGGUUUUGCUCCUCCGUUUUUGACAACAUUAGAAGGAGAAAAGGAGACAAACUAGUCAAAAGUAGGUAAAAGUGAACUGGCCGUUGGGUACUUUUUUCUUACCGUGUACGAAUACAGCACCCCACACGAAUAAAGCCCUACAGUAAAAGUAUGGACGACUGACACCACAAAACUGAAAAAAAGCUGUUCCAAUCGAGCAAAGCGGUGCAUUUUGACGGUUCGAUUGGAACAACUUUUGACAGACGUCCAUACUUUUACUGUAGGGCUUUACACACGAAUUGCCGGCGACAAAGUGACGUCAUUUGACAUUGGGCGACUUAAAGACUGACGUUUUUAAAUUGGUGUGUUUUUUUUUUGUCGUGCGCUCAGCCAUCUUGUCUGGUUUGUUUAUAAACAAACUAGACAAGAUGGCUGAGUGCACGGAGCGCACCGCAAAUUCCUUCACCCGAGCCGCGAAGGAAAGUAGCAACUUUAACACCGGCUGCUUCCAAUAAUUCCGGAUUGGGACGUGUACGGAAAUUGAAUAGAGCCGCCUGCUUCCAAUAAUUCCGGAGGUGUUCGGGAAUAGAGGUAAGUAUUGAACAAUUUGUUAUUAAGUGUAAUUAUUUUUUUUUUAAAUUGAUCCG